UCACAGUGGAUAAAUUCUUGUGGAGCCA
rnacentral:sRNA from 1 species